UAUACGAGUUUUGUUAUUGCUUACAAUAUGCAUAUGAUUUUUACAUUUGGUGUUUGCUUCUGUUUGUCGCGAAAUAUUAGCGGUUAAUAAAUUCUUUAUUUCUAUUUAUAACCAUAAAUAUACGAAUUGUGUAUUUUUUAUGCGUAAAAAGGAUAAAAUGUCAAAACUUAUCGACACGAAUUAUGAGGACGGUUUGAUGUUAUCUGGAUACCAAAAAAAAUUGAAUACAAUGAAAAAAAAGUUUUUUGUAUUAUACAGAGAUACUACCCAAGAGGGCGCUCGGUUGGAAUAUUUUGAUAGCAUGAGAAAGUUUAAGUCUGGGUUAGCUCCCAAACGUGUGGUAAAAUUAGAGAACUGCUUUAAUAUUAAUCGGAGAUUAGAUACAAAGCAUGACUAUGUAAUAGCACUUGCAACGAAAGACGGUGGCUUCGGCAUGGUUUUAGAAACUGAAGCAGAAAUGUUAAAGUGGCUGCAAGCGUUGCUUUCGCUUCAACGUAGUAUUACGAAUAAAGCUGAUAUUUUAAUUCCUAAAUUUGAUCACGUUUGGCAAGUGGUAGUACAAAAGAAAAGCUUAGCAGAAGAAAGGAAAAUUAUAGGAAACUAUCAUGUAUGCUUGUCCACAAUGUCUGUCACUUUUAUAAGAAUUGGUUCAGAAAAGUCGUCAUCAGGAUAUAUUAGAGCCACGGAUAUACAUAUUCCCUUAAACACCAUAAGAAGAUGUGGAGACUCAUAUUGCCUUUUUUACAUGGAAGUUGGACGGCAAUGUAUUAUUGGACCUGGAGAACUUUGGAUGGAUACAGAAGAUCCUUUAGUAGCUCAGAGUAUGCAUAAAAUGAUAUCAAGUGCAAUGUCUGUGAGAAUAGAUGUUAUUGGAGAUAACAUUAGAAAGAGAUCAUCUUCCGUUACAGAAACAUCUAAGCCGAUGAGUUUUAUGGAUACAGGAAGCCUUCGUGCGGAAAAUAAAAUUUGUAAUAUGAAUCAGACAGGUAAAUUAUCAAAUUAUAAUCUUGGACGAGGUAGAUGUGACAGUUUUCCAACCAGAACUAGAGAGUCCAAUGAUGACGCGAAUCAAAGUUUUAAAUCAUCACAUGUACAAAAUGUUCCUUGUACAGCGACGCCUCGUAUUUUAUCACUUUCCCGGUACAGUACAAGUCCACCAAUAGCUUCUUGUGGAAGUACAGAAAGAAAAGAAUCGGUGAAGCUCGAUGAUCAAGAAGAAACCGGAAACUAUUUGCCAUUUCGUUACAAGUCUGCAGAGAGAGCUAUUCCAGAAGAAAACUCAGAAGAUUUGAUAUAUUCUGACAGCAUACAUUUUCGAAAAGAUUUAUAUAUUCCUAUGGCUCCGGUGGUGAAACCACUGGAAAAGGCUCAACAAGAGAGACAAUUUACCGUAGGUGAUGCUGCUGUUUUGUCUUGCAACAAUUCUCAAAAUUCCAUCGUAACAACUGAUUUGGCUCCACAAAUUCAUGCAAUUAUUAUUUCAUCAGCAAAGCCCAACGAUUUUGAAAACUCGCGGCAACACUUGUCACUAAUGAUUAGAGCGUGAAUGAGAAUAGGACAAAUGAAUUAUGUGCGUACGUGCGUACUAAAGCCAAUUUUUGCAUUAUCAAAACACAUAAGCCUAUGUUUGCAGCAAAUAGACUGUGAUUUGAGCAGCUGCGUUGCUUAUGCAAAUAAUUUGUAUGCUGAAAUUAGUGAAAUGCGUAAGGAUUCUGAACAAUCGUUUAAACUAAUUUUUGAAUCAGUUAAAACAAUAGCCGCAGAAUUUGAUUUAGAAAUCAAAAUUCCGCGUUUGGCGAAACGGCAAAUUAAUCGCGACAAUUAUGAAGGCGAACCGGAAGAAUAUUACCGCAGAUCAAUUUAUAUACCGUUUUUAGAUAAUUUUUUGGACCAAAUCAAUGAACAAUUUUUAAAACAUCGAGAGCUGCUUUCCAAAAUUGAAAACAUUUUGCCAAAUAAAUGCAUAAAUCUUGACGUUAUUGAGAUGCAGGAGACUGUUCGUGUUUUAGAAAAGCAAUGGUCCGCUGAUGUAGAAGAUCGCGCUGAAUUUAGAAUGUGGAAAAGGAACUGCUUAAAUCAAACAAAGAGAUCCAAAACUUUUUUAGACGCGUUGAAUUGCGAUGCAAAAAUUUUCAAAAGAGUGCAUCGUUUUUUAAAGAUUGGAGCAACAAUCCCUAUAUCUGUCGCUUCAAGUGAACGCUGAAAAUAAAAGAAGAUUAGACUUCAAUUUGUGAAUAAAAUAAUGAAACCUUGUCUUUUUACCUAAAUUAUUAUUAUUGUUUUUUAAGAAUGAGCUUGAAAUACACACUAUAUAUUAUAUUUGCUACUGGUCCGCAGAAACUACUCGUACUACUAUGGGCACAACUAGUAUAUGUAAUUUUGAAUU